UACAGAGGGGGCGAGCGUUGUUCGGAAUUACUGGGCGUAAAGGGCGCGUAGGCGGCCUCUUAAGUCGAACGUGAAAUCCCCGGGCUCAACCCGGGAACUGCGUCCGAUACUGGGAGGCUUGAAUCCGGGAGAGGGAUGUGGAAUUCCAGGUGUAGCGGUGAAAUGCGUAGAUAUCGGGAGGAACACCUGAGGCGAAGGCGGGCUACUGGGCUGAUACUGACGCUGAUGCGCGAAAGCCAGGGGAGCAAACGGG
rnacentral:rRNA from 1 species